rnacentral:rRNA from 1 species
UACGGAGGGUGCAAGCGUUAUCCGGAUUCACUGGGUUUAAAGGGUGCGUAGGUGGGCAGGUAAGUCAGUGGUGAAAUCUCCGGGCUUAGCUCGGAAACUGCCAUUGAUACUAUCUUUCUUGAAUACCGUGGAGGUCAGCGGAAUAUGUCAUGUAGCGGUGAAAUGCUUAGAUAUGACAUAGAACACCAAUUGCGAAGGCAGCUGGCUACACGAAUAUUGACACUGAUGCACGAAAGCGUGGGGAUCAAACAGG